GCAUGAUUGUCAUUUUCAAUUUGAGGGACUCUCACCUCAAGUACUUUUACUGUUCCAUAUCAGGAAAAAGGUCAUGAGCUGAAACAUGCGAUUGGGGAAAAAGGAAAAGCAUUAGGAAAAUGCCUGCAUGGGGAGAAAAGUUUUGAACUCUGAAAAGGGAGGUGUGACAAAAACAUUUUGACAGUUGUUGAUUUCUACUAAAACCAAUAUCAACAAGAAAGAGGACAUAAAAUAGUUUUAUGUUGAUUCACAACUUUAAAUUCAAGAAUGAACAGUUGGUUUUAUUAUAAAACAUGUCACAUACAAAAAAAAAAACAUAUUUGUAAAAUGUACUUUGUCUUUGAUAUGCAUGUUAUUUGCAGGAUAGGAUGUGGGCAACAUAUACUGCCAAGAAUCUUGAUGAUUUUGAUUUUAUGUUUGUAAAAAAUAAUGUUUUGUAUUGUAAUAAACAAAGUUAAAGUCA